UUACCUGCAUGGGAGAUGAAGGAUAGAUGUCGUCGGCUGUGGAGUCCACCAGGUCCUCCUCGUCCAACGUGGCUCUUUUGUACGUUGACAUCUGAAAAGUCAAAUGGAGAAAAGUCUCUCUCAGUGCUUCCAUCCUUCAACCCCUCUCCUAACUCUCCCCCACCUGGUGUGUGUGUUUGUUUUUGAGAGAGAGAGAGAGAGAGAGAGUGUUUGCAGUUUGACGGCUACUCGUCGACAGUCUCUGAGGCUCCUGGGCAGGGCUUCCCUCCAAUAUCCAUGGGGAGGAAUCUGGUUUGUCUGGUUGGAGCUCUUCCCCCUCAAACACUUUGCAGUUUGCUUACACAGACUGCGUCGCUCCUCUCCUUUCAAAGGACAAGAUGCCACAACUCAGGGCCCAGGAGGGAACUCGACACCACAACAACGAAUAAGCAUUACACAAGCAUCCGAACCCUGUCUGUGCUGGUGUGUUGUUAGCAGCUUAUGGACGAGUGAAGUGAUGAAAGAUGCAGAGAGACACAGAGAGGGGGAAGCAACACGUUGACGUUUCUGUAAACAACACGCCACGAGUGAUGAGUCCCCGCGUGGAUCUGCGCUGAAGGGGGUUCUCUCUCGCCAUUAGUCGCCCAUGUGUGUGCGGGGUCUCGGUGCGAGGAGCCGGGGUCUUACCCUGCUGAUGCUGCCGGGGGCUCCGGUGCCGCCG